UACGGGGGGAGCAAGCGUUGUUCGGAUUUACUGGGCGUAAAGGGCGCGUAGGCGGUCAGCACAGGUCAGUUGUGAAAUCUCCGGGCUUAACCCGGAAAGGUCAACUGAUACUGUGCGACUAGAGUGCGGAAGGGGCAACUGGAAUUCUUGGUGUAGCGGUGAAAUGCGUAGAUAUGCGGAGGAACACCGAUGGCGAAGGCAAUCCCCUGGGCCUGCACUGACGCUCAUGCACGAAAGCGUGGGGAGCAAACAGG
rnacentral:rRNA from 1 species